rnacentral:rRNA from 1 species
ACUCCUACGGGAGGCAGCAGUGGGGAAUAUUGCACAAUGGGCGCAAGCCUGAUGCAGCCAUGCCGCGUGUGUGAAGAAGGCCUUCGGGUUGUAAAGCACUUUCAGUCGUGAGGAAGGUGGUAGUGUUAAUAGCACUAUCAUUUGACGUUAGCGACAGAAGAAGCACCGGCUAACUCCGUGCCAGCAGCCGCGGUAAUACGGAGGAUCCAAGCGUUAUCCGGAAUCAUUGGGUUUAAAGGGUCCGUAGGUGGAUGAUUAAGUCAGAGGUGAAAUCCUGCAGCUCAACUGUAGAAUUGCCUUUGAUACUGGUUGUCUUGAAUUAUUGUGAAGUAGUUAGAAUAUGUGGUGUAGCGGUGAAAUGCAUAGAUAUCACAUAGAAUACCGAUUGCGAAGGCAGAUUACUAACAAUACAUUGACACUGAUGGACGAAAGCGUGGGGAGCGAACAGGAUUAGAUACCCUGGUAGGCUCUG